CUACGCAGCGUACACAUGCAAGUCGAGCGGAAACGAUGGAGCUUGCUCCAGGCGUCGAGCGGCGGACGGGUGAGUAAUGCAUAGGAAUCUGCCCGGUAGUGGGGGAUAACCUGGGGAAACCCAGGCUAAUACCGCAUACGUCCUACGGGAGAAAGCAGGGGAUCUUCGGACCUUGCGCUAUCGGAUGAGCCUAUGUCGGAUUAGCUUGUUGGUGAGGUAAUGGCUCACCAAGGCGACGAUCCGUAGCUGGUCUGAGAGGAUGAUCAGCCACAUCGGGACUGAGACACGGCCCGAACUCCUACGGGAGGCAGCAGUGGGGAAUAUUGGACAAUGGGCGAAAGCCUGAUCCAGCCAUGCCGCGUGUGUGAAGAAGGCUUUCGGGUUGUAAAGCACUUUCAGUGAGGAAGAAGGCCUUGGGGCCAAUACCCCCGAGGAAGGACAUCACUCACAGAAGAAGCACCGGCUAACUCCGUGCCAGCAGCCGCGGUAAUACGGAGGGUGCGAGCGUUAAUCGGAAUUACUGGGCGUAAAGCGCGCGUAGGCGGCGUGAUAAGCCGGUUGUGAAAGCCCCGGGCUCAACCUGGGAACGGCAUCCGGAAC
rnacentral:rRNA from 1 species